rnacentral:rRNA from 1 species
UUGGCUCGAGUGGCGAACGGGUGAGUAACACGUGAGUAACCUGCCCUUGACUUUGGGAUAACUUCAGGAAACUGGGGCUAAUACCGGAUAGGAGCUCCUGCUGCAUGGUGGGGGUUGGAAAGUUUCGGCGGUUGGGGAUGGACUCGCGGCUUAUCAGCUUGUUGGUGGGGUAGUGGCUUACCAAGGCUUUGACGGGUAGCCGGCCUGAGAGGGUGACCGGCCACAUUGGGACUGAGAUACGGCCCAG